GUUUCCCCACGGGCGGGGCGACGAAAUCACCGCUCUGCUCCGACGUCCAGCUCUACUCGCGAGCAGGACAUCACCGCGCGUCCACCAUCUCUGGCUUGCUGUCCUCCGCGCGUCAUCUCCAUCCCUGGCUUGAGAUAUGGGUUCUUGGGAAGAGCUAGCUAGGCAGUUUUUGUUGGAGGAAGAAGAAGACGAUGAGGAGUUUUUCUUUAUUCUUCUCCCUGCUAUACUUCCAUUCCUCUCUGAAGAGAAAAGGUCUAUCCAUACCUCCUCUCUCUCUGGUGCCCAAAAGGUUAAGGAGAUUCUUGAAGGGCAUGAGAGUUGGUGCAAGUCCGAGUUUCGAAUGGAGCCAGAAAUAUUUAGAGCCACAUCAGAAUUCCUUAGAAGAGAGGGUUUGUUACGUGAUACACGAGGAGUUAACGUCGAAGAGCAGCUUGGGAUGUUUAUGUAUAUGAUCUCCCACAAUGCCAGUAACCAAAUGCUUCAAAAGGCUUUCCAACAUAGUGGAGAGACUAUCCAUCGAAAAAUAUCAGAAGUUUUCGAUAUAGUUCCCACUCUAACUCAGCGAUUCGUGAAGCUUCCCAAUUCUAUCCAGACACAUCCAAAAAUUAUAACUGAUUCUAGGUUCAUGCCCUUUUUUUAGAAUUGCAUUGGAGCAAUUGACGGAACCCAUGUACCUAUCACCAUUGCAGAAGAUAAGGCUCCUCCUUACCGAAAUAGGAAAGGGUCACUUUCACAAAACGUGAUGUUGGCAUGUGAGGUGAAUGUGGCGAUGAAGAGAUGGGCUUACAGUGUGUUAAGUGGAAGCAACACAUGAAGCGGACAUGGAGAAGGAAGCUGGCAUGACACUAAAACGCAUAAAGUUGACUUGUGACGUUCAUGUUUUAGAUGUCUUAUUCUACUGCCAAACUUCCUAGUACUCCAUUUUUAUACUAUAUUGUCUAUCUGUACGUGUGAAUGGAGAUGAUGAUAUUAUGUGAUGUGAUGAUGGAUGGAUUAGCUUCGUUGAAUAUUAGAUGAUAUUAUGUGAUGAUGAUAUUAAACGGGCAUUGUAGUAUUGAUACAUGCUUCAUAUUUCUGGAUUUUUAGUGAUGUUUUAUUGUUUAUGAGUUUUCU